AGCCGGUGAUGAAUUUAUUAUUUUCUGACACCUCGUAUGAGUGCUGCAAAAGCAGUACUUGAUUACAUUUGAUGUCUGAGGCUC